rnacentral:rRNA from 1 species
AUUGAACGCUGGCGGCAGGCUUAACACAUGCAAGUCGAGCGGGGAAGGUUGCUUCGGUAACUGACCUAGCGGCGGACGGGUGAGUAAUGCUUAGGAAUCUGCCUAUUAGUGGGGGACAACAUUCCGAAAGGAAUGCUAAUACCGCAUACGGCCUACGGGGGAAAGCAGGGGAUCUUCGGACAUUGCGCUAAUAGAUGAGCCUAAGUCGGAUUAGCUAGUUGGUGGGGUAAAGGCCUACCAAGGCGACGAUCUGUAGCGGGUCUGGGAGGAUGAUCCGCCACACUGGGACUGAGACACGGCCCAGACUCCUACGGGAGGCAGCAGUGGGGAAUAUUGGACAAUGGGCGGAAGCCUGAUCCAGCCAUGCCGCGUGUGUGAAGAAGGCCUUUUGGUUGUAAAGCACUUUAAGCGAGGAGGAGGCUCUUAAGGUUAAUACCCUUGAUGAGUGGACGUUGCUCGCAGAAUAAGCACCGGCUAACUCUGUGCCAGCAGCCGCAGUAAAAC